UAAAACCUUAAGUUAAAUUAAACUAAUAACCUUCAAAGUUAUAAAUAUGCAUAAUGUUUUAGGUUUUAA
rnacentral:tRNA from 1 species